UGGGGAAUAUUGCACAAUGGGCGAAAGCCUGAUGCAGCAACGCCGCGUGAGUGAUGAAGGUCUUCGGAUUGUAAAGCUCUGUCUUUUGGGACGAUAAUGACGGUACCAAAGGAGGAAGCCACGGCUAACUACGUGCCAGCAGCCGCGGUAAUACGUAGGUGGCGAGCGUUGUCCGGAUUUACUGGGCGUAAAGGGUGCGUAGGCGGAUGUUUAAGUGAGAUGUGAAAUUACCCGGGCUUAACUU
rnacentral:rRNA from 1 species